CAUCUUACCAGACCUGACGCAAAGGGUUAUAGGAUUAAUCAAGCGUAUGGGAGCAGAAGCACACCCAAUACAAAAGAGAGUUUUAUGUAUGAAUAAGAUUGAUUUAGUUGAGAAGAAGAAAGAUUUAUUAACAGUUGCCGAGCAAUUCAAAGAUCUUCCUGGGUUUGAAAGGCUGUCAAAAGAUCUUGGGAGGAAGAUCCAUUCAUCAUGACUGAGG